GUCACUGGGUCCCUCUUAGCUAUUUCCGCCUGGCAACACGGUAGAGAGAGAGAGAGAGAGAGAGAGAGAGAGAGAGAGAGAGAGAGAGAGAGAGAGAGAGAGCAACGUCGAUGUUUAAACCUGUAGAUUGCUUGUGUCCUCGUCCUCUCGAUCUCUCUCUCCCUCUCUCUCAUUCGUUUUUACUACAAGGGAAGAUCAAAGAGGCUCAUGUUUAUUACGGGUCAGUUGCUCAUCUCUGCAUCUCUAUCACUUCAUCUCUCAGACAACGUGAACAGCUGCUAGACAUUCAACAGGGCGAGACAGUUUUUGCACCGAACGCCGCAUAAAAUAGCUCGCAAAUUUGGCUUCCUUUCCUCCCUCUCUCUGUUUAUCCUCCUUGCUUACAUAAUUAUCCUUCCUGCCUACUUUCCUCUCUCCCUGAAUCUCCUCUUUGUUUAUCUUUACAUACUGACCUUCCUUCUGUCCCUUUUUCUCUUCAUUGUUUAUAUAAUUCUCUCUCUUGCCUACUUUCCUUUCAUCUCUUUCUGUUUGUCCUCUGUGCUUCCCUCCUACCUCCUUCCUGCCUUAUAAUUAUGCUCCUCUUUCUCCUUGUUGUAUAUAUAAUUCUCAUAUCUAAUUCUGUUCCUCUAUUAUUUGUUUACCCUCUUGUUAAUUUACUUUAUCUGUCUACCUUCCCAAAAUGAUGUACCUCUCUCUCAUCGUUUAUAUAAUUAUCUUCCCUAUCUUGUCCUACUUUCUCUGUCCUCAUUCUCAUUGCUUACAUAAUUCCCCUACAUUCUCUCUCUCUCUCUCUCUCUCUCUCUCUCUCUCUCUCUCUCUCUCUCUCGGGAUGUUAUUAGUGCCAAGAAUAAUAGAGCAUAAUCCUUUAUUAGUUAUGCAUCCUGGAAUAUAAUACACAGUGGGGCUUUCAUACAUUCAAGAACUACUCGCUGUGUCGUCGCGUGUGUGUGUGUAUCCCAUGUGUUCAGGAUACCUUCAUUUGCAUGCUAAUUCAUAACCUUAUACGAUAUGUAGGUCAGAGGAGUAAGUUCCCGGUGCCCCAUGCCAGGAAAAUGAGCGAAGAGGUUACGUAAUGAGAGAGAGAGAGAGAGAGAGAGAGAGAGAGAGAGAGAGAGCGUGUAUCCUUCAACCUCCCAAAGCAUCCGCCUACCAUCGCCUCAUCCCACAAUGGUUCAGUCACCCCUCCAUUACGUUCCUCCAAUACCCUGUCACGCCUCAAAAUACAUGUCACACUGUACACCAGACACACACCUUCCUUUUGAGCAUAAAAUUAAACCACGAUACCCUUUGGAAGUGUUCUUAUAUUAUCGAAAUGUAAAGUUUGGUGUGGGUUUUGAGCAGCUGAUGUUCCCUUUCUCCUCCUCCUUCUCCUCCUCCUCCUCCUCCUCCUGCCACUACUACUACGAUUAUUAUUAAAGUGUAAUAUAUAGACCCGGAGGAGAGCAAAUACUAUAAGCUACAACGUCUGCAAUCCUGACUCACCUAACACGCAGAUAAUUAAGGAGGGAGGAAGGAAGGAGAAGAGGAAGACGAGGACUAAAAGAAGUGAAAUUGAGAUGAAAAGGUGAUAUGAAGCGAUGAGAUGAGAGAUGUAAGAUAAACAAGAGAAGGGAAAGAAGGGAGAAACAAGAGAUAUAAAGGGAAUAAAGUCGAAGAGAAUUAAAGAACGGAAUUAAAAUAAGCUCUGGCAAAUGGCGUGAGGUAUUUAAAUAUUUUCUCCUUCCUUAUAUAACCGUCUCCACGCAUCCUAGCAACACUGGAAGGUAGAUAAAAGCUUCUGCUAUGCUUUACGUGAAUAUAAACACACAUAUCAUGGCCAAAAAGACUUAUAUUAGAGGAUGAAGUAGGAAAGUAUGGUGGAAUUUAGCUGUUUGAAAGUACUUUGGAAAAUACACUAAUGAUUCCCUUCCUAUAUAGCAACACUGGAAGGUCGGUAAAGGCUUCUGCUAUGCUUUAAGUUAACAUAAACACACAAUCAUGGCCAAAAACACUUAUAUUAGAGGAUGAAGUAGAAAAGUAUGGUAGAAUUUAGCAGAAGCACUUUGGAAAAUACACUAAUGAUUCCCUUCCUAUACAGCAACAGUGGAAGGUCGGUAAAGGCUUCUGCUAUGCUUUAAGUUAACAUAAACACACAUCAUGGCCAAAAAAGACAUAUUAGAGGAUGAAGUAGAAAAGUAUGGUAGAAUUUAUCCGUUUGUAAAUACUUUGAAAAAUACACUAAUGAUUCCCUUCCUAUAUAGCAACACUGGAAGGUCGGAAAAGGCUUCUGCUAUGCUUUAAGUUAACAUAAACACACAUCAUGGCCAAAAAAACAAAAAAAAAAAGACAUAAUAGAGGAAAAAGUAUAAAAGUAUGGUAGAAUUUAUCCGUUUGUAAAUACUUUGAAAAAUACACUAAUGAUUCCCUUCCUAUAUAGCAACACUGAAAGGUAGAUAAAAGCUUCUGCUAUGCUUUAAGUUAACAUAAACACACAAUCAUGGCCAAAAACACUUAUAUUAGAGGAUGAAGUAGAAAAGUAUGGUAGAAUUUAUCCGUUUGUAAGUACUUUGAAAAAUACACUAAUGAUUCCCUUCCUAUAUAGCAACACUGGAAGGUCGGUAAAGGCUUCUGCUAUGCUUUAAGUUAACAUAAACACACAAUCAUGGCCAAAAAAAAGACAUAUUAGAGGAAAAAGUAUAAAAGUAUGGUAGAAUUUAUCCGUUUGUAAGUACUUUGAAAAAUACACUAAUGAUUCCCUUCCUAUACAGCAACAGUGGAAGGUCGGUAAAGGCUUCUGCUAUGCUUCAAGUUAACAUAAACACACAAUCAUGGCCAAAAACACUUAUAUUAGAGGAUGAAGUAGAAAAGUAUGGUAGAAUUUAGCAGAAGCACUUUGAAAAAUACAUUAAUAAUUCCCUUCAGAGCCCCCGUCAGGCAAUGCACCUGUGACCUAAUUAAGCCUAAAGCAUCCUUCUAUUAUUCACGUGAGGGCCAGUGAGGAUGGAGGCUCCGUUGAGGGUAAAAAAUAAGGUAAAUG